rnacentral:rRNA from 1 species
GAUGAACGCUAGCUACAGGCUUAACACAUGCAAGUCGAGGGGAAACGAUAGAGAAAGCUUGCUUUUUCUAGGCGUCGACCGGCGCACGGGUGAGUAACGCGUAUCCAACCUGCCCACCACUUGGGGAUAACAUCGAGAAAGUAAGACUAAUACCCAAUGAUAUCUCAAGAAGACAUCUGAAUGAGAUUAAAGAUUUAUAUGUGAUGGAUGGGGAUGCGUCUGAUGAGCUUGUUGGCGGGGUAACGGCCCACCAAGGCGACGAUCAGUAGGGGUUCUGAGAGGAAGGUCCCCCACAUUGGAACUGAGACACGGUCCAAACUCCUACGGGAGGCAGCAGUGAGGAAUAUUGGUCAAUGGGCGAGAGCCUGAACCAGCCAAGUAGCGUGCAGGAUGACGGCCCUACGGGUUGUAAACUGCUUUUAUAAGGGAAUAAAGUGAGUCUCGUGAGGCUUUUUGCAUGUACCUUAUGAAUAAGGACCGGCUAAUUCCGUGCCAGCCGCCGCGGUAA